rnacentral:rRNA from 1 species
CACGUAGGCGGCCUGGUAAGUCAGAUGUGAAAGCCCGGGGCUUAACCCCGGAAGUGCAUUUGAUACUGCCAGGCUUGAGUAUGGGAGAGGGAAGUGGAAUUCCUGGUGUAGAGGUGAAAUUCGUAGAUAUCAGGAGGAACACCGGUGGCGAAGGCGACUUCCUGGACCAAUACUGACGCUGAGGUGCGAAGGCGUGGGUAGCAAACA